rnacentral:rRNA from 1 species
UACGUAGGCAGCGAGCGUUGUUCGGAGUUACUGGGCGUAAAGAGUGCGUAGGCGGUUUUCUAAGUUUGGUGUGAAAUCUCCCGGCUUAACUGGGAGGGUGCGCCGAAGACUGGAAGGCUUGAGUAUGGGAGAGGUAAGCGGAAUUCCUGGUGUAGCGGUGAAAUGCGUAGAUAUCGAGAGGAACACCUGCGGCGAAGGCGGGUUGCUGGGCUGACACUGACGCUGAUGCGCGAAAGCCAGGGGAGCGAACGGG